AGAGUUUGAUCCUGGCUCAGGACGAACGCUGGCGGCGUGCUUAACACAUGCAAGUCGAACGGAACUUAUAGUUCAGUGGCAAACGGGUGAGUAACGCGUAGGUAAUCUGCCGCAAAGAUGGGGACAACAGUUCGAAAGGACUGCUAAUACCGAAUGUUGUAUGAAAUUCGCAUGGGUUUCAUACUAAAGAUUUAUCGCUUUGCGAGGAGCCUGCGUCCGAUUAGGUAGUUGGUAGGGUAAGAGCGUACCAAGCCGACGAUCGGUAACCGGUCUGAGAGGAUGAACGGUCACAUUGGAACUGAGACACGGUCCAGACUCCUACGGGAGGCAGCAGUGGGGAAUAUUCCACAAUGGGGGGAACCCUGAUGGAGCGACGCCGCGUGAGUGAAGAAGGGCUUCGGCUCGUAAAGCUCUUUUCUCGUUGACGAAAUGACGGAAGUAGAUGACGGUAGACGGGGAAUAAGCCACGGCUAACUACGUGCCAGCAGCCGCGGUAAUACGUAGGUGGCAAGCGUUGUCCGGAAUUAUUGGGCGUAAAGGGAGCGCAGGCGGAAAUUUAAGUCGUACUUAAAAGUGCAGCAGUAAUAGUUGUGAUGGGUACGAAACUGGAUAUCUUGAGAGCAGGAGAGGCAAGCGGAAUUCCCAGUGUAGCGGUGAAAUGCGUAGAUAUUGGGAGGAACACCAGUGGCGAAGGCGGCUUGCUGGACUGCAUCUGACGCUGAGGCUCGAAAGCUAGGGUAGCGAACGGGAUUAGAUACCCCGGUAGUCCUAGCUGUAAACGAUGAGUGCUAGGUGUGGGAGGUAUCGACUCCUCCCGUGCCGGAGUCAACGCAAUAAGCACUCCGCCUGGGGAGUACGGUCGCAAGACUGAAACUCAAAGGAAUUGACGGGGGCCCGCACAAGCGGUGGAGUAUGUGGUUUAAUUCGACGCAACGCGAAGAACCUUACCAAGCCUUGACAUUGAUUGACAGGUUAUGAAAGUAACUAUUCUCUUAGGAGACAAGAAAACAGGUGGUGCAUGGCUGUCGUCAGCUCGUGUCGUGAGAUGUUGGGUUAAGUCCCGCAACGAGCGCAACCCCUACACUGUGUUGCCAGCGAGUAAGGUCGGGGACUCACAGAGGACAGCCCGAGAUAAUCGGGAGGAAGGCGGGGAUGACGUCAAGUCAUCAUGCCCCAUAUGGCUUGGGCUACACACGUACUACAAUGGGACGGAACAGAGGGAAGCGAAGUCGUGAGGCAGAGCAAAACCGAAAAAACGUACCCCAGUUCGGAUUGUAGGCUGAAACUCGCCUACAUGAAGUCGGAAUCGCUAGUAAUCGCAGGUCAGCAUACUGCGGUGAAUACGUUCCACGGGCCUUGUACACACCGCCCGUCACACCACGGAAGUCGAUCACACCCGAAGUCUGGAAACAGCCUAAGGCGGGGUCGGUGACUGGGGUGAAGUCGUAACAAGGUAACC
rnacentral:rRNA from 1 species